GUCUGCCGCCUGGGGAGUACGGCCGCAAGGUUGAAACUUAAAGCAAUUGGCGGGGGAGCACACAAGGGGUGGAUGCUGCGGUUUAAUUGAAUUCAACGUCGUAAAUAUUACCGGGAGCGACGGCAGGAUGAAGGUCAGACUAAAGAUCUUACCUGACGAGCCGAGAGGUAGUGCAUGGCGAUCGUCAGCUCGUGGUGUGAACUGUCCGGUUAAGUCCGGGAACGAGCGAGACCCUUGCUACCAGUAGCGAUUUGCUUAGCGAUAAGCAAAGCACUCUGUUAGGACCGCCCAUGUUUAAAGGGGAGGAAGGAAAGGGCGACGAUUCGUCAGUAUGCUCUGAAUCUUCCGGGCUACACGCGGCAUACAAAGGUUGGUACAAUGGGAUGCAAUGCCGAGAGGCAAAGCAAAUCCCCUAAAACCGAUCUAAGUUCGGAUUGAGGGUUGAAACUCACCCUCAUGAAGCUGGAAUCCCUAGUAAUCGCUUGUCACUAUCGAGCGGUGAAUCUGUCCCUGCUCCUUGCACACACCGCCUGCCAAGCCACCCAAGUAAGGUCUUAGUGAGGCAGCACUUUCGGGUGCUUUCGAAUUAAGAUUUUGCGAGGAGGGCUAAGGCAUAACAAGGUAUCUGUAGGGGAACCUGCAGAUA
rnacentral:rRNA from 1 species